CCCUUAGAUGUUCUGGGCCGCACGCGCGCUACACUGACGAAGUCAGCGAGCAUGUCCUACGCCGACAGGUGCGGGGAAUCUUGUCAAACUUCGUCGUGAUGGGGAUUGAGUAUUGAAAUUCUUGAUCAUCAACGAGGAAUUCCUAGUAAGCGCAAGUCAGCAGCUUGCGUUGAUUACGUCCCUGCCCUUUGUACACACCGCCCGUCGCUACUACCGAUUGAAUGGUUUAGUGAGAUCUUCGGAUUGGCGCCACUGCGGCUCAGCAAUGGGCUCGGUGGAUGCCGAAAAGUUGAUCAAACUUGAUCAUUUAGAGGAAGUAAAAGUCGUAACA
rnacentral:rRNA from 1 species